rnacentral:rRNA from 1 species
UACGAAGGGGGCUAGCGUUGCUCGGAAUCACUGGGCGUAAAGGGUGCGUAGGCGGGUCUUUAAGUCAGAGGUGAAAUCCUGGAGCUCAACUCCAGAACUGCCUUUGAUACUGAAGGUCUUGAGUUCGGGAGAGGUGAGUGGAACUGCGAGUGUAGAGGUGAAAUUCGUAGAUAUUCGCAAGAACACCAGUGGCGAAGGCGGCUCACUGGCCCGAUACUGACGCUGAGGCACGAAAGCGUGGGGAGCAAACAGG